rnacentral:rRNA from 1 species
AAGACCUUGCGCUUUUGGAGCGGCCGAUGCCUGAUUAGCUUGUUGGUAAGGUAAAAGCUUACCAAGGCUUCGAUCAGUAGCUGGUCUGAGAGGACGACCAGCCACACUGGGACUGAGACACGGCCCAGACUCCUACGGGAGGCAGCAGUGGGGAAUUUUGGACAAUGGGGCAACCCUGAUCCAGCCAUGCCGCGUGAGUGAAGAAGGCCUUCGGGUUGUAAAGCUCUUUCAGCCGGAACAAAACGGUUACGGUUAACACCCGUGACUACUGACGGUACCGGAAGAAGAAGCACCGGCUAACUACGUGCCAGCAGCCGCGGUAAUACGUAGGGUGCGAGCGUUAAUCGGAAUUACUGGGCGUAAAGCGUGCGCAGGUGGUUUUGUAAGUCAGAUGUGAAAGCCCCGGGCUCAACCUGGGAACU